rnacentral:rRNA from 1 species
UGGGGAAUAUUGGAUAAUGGGCGAAAGCCUGAUCCAGCCAUGCCGCGUGUGUGAAGAAGGUCUUCGGAUUGUAAAGCACUUUAAGUUGGGAGGAAGGGCAGUAAGCGAAUACCUUGCUGUUUUGACGUUACCGACAGCAUAAGCACCGGCUAACUCUGUGCCAGCAGCCGCGGUAAUACAGCGGGUGCAAGCGUUAAUCGGAAUUACUGGGCGUAAUGCGCGCGUAGGUGGUUCGUUAAGUUGAAUGUGAAAGCCCCGGGCUCAACCUGGGAACUGGAUACAAAACGAGCGGGCUGGAGGAGGGCGGAGGGUGGUUGAAUUUCCUGUGUAGCGGUUAAAUGCGUAAAUAUAUGGAGGAACACCAGUGGCGAAGGCGACCACCUGAGCUCAUACUGACACUGAGGUGCGAAAGCGUGGGGAGCAAACAGG